GUAAGCUCCAUCGAGGUUAAUACGGCAAUCGUGUAUUAUCCUCGAUUUUGCUAAGCAUCGAACGGUAUUAUCUUCGAUUUUAAUCCCGGUAUUAACUUUAGUGCGCCGAUUUUGGCGUACUAAAGAUAAAACGAGAUUUUCCAAAUACAGGCUGCGUGCUUUAAUUUGCCUAAACGCACCCAGGAACCAACUAGUGGAGAAAUCGGACUGAACCAAAUGAUUGUGGUACGCUGUUUCUGACUCGCAAUGGUGCUUCGCGGUGGAUAUUUUUUUUAAACCACCACACUCUUCGAUCCGCGAGCUCGCACAAACAGUGGAUGGUCAAUAAUGCACAUAAGUAUUUUCCUGUGGUUGACCCCCUUUAGCUGAAGGAAAUUCGUCAAUCCGGAUCCAUGGAUACUCCAAACAUGAGGAUUGGACCGUAAAAACCAUUUCCGAGGGAACUUUAGGCAUAGACCUUUGCGCUGCCGCCACCGAAACCGGACAAGGUAUCGGCGGGCGCAAUACGCCGCAUCACUCAGGCAAAUAAAUUAACUAAUUUCAUAAAUUUUCCCUUAUGAAGCGUUGAAAAAUCUAUAAAAACCUAUUUCAGAAGGCUAAUAUGGAUUUCAUACCGUUGAAAUAAUAAUCAUAAUUGAUAAAAUAGUUAAUUAUAAUGAACGUUCUCAAAUUUCAUUGCGCGCCUUAUGAUUUCCAUUGCUGUCAUUAGUCAUUUCCUCAAUGAUACCAUCAUUCAUAAGGCUAUUAUGGAUUUCAUAUUAGUUCAAUGAAAACCAUAAUUGCGAAGCAUGUUAUCCCUCAUUAACGAAUAUCAAUUUCAUUGGGCCACCUUAUGAAGCACAUAGCUGUCGCUAGUGUGAAAAACUCAUAAGGUUGUUAUUAUGAAAAUUUGCAAAUGGAAAAAUAACUGGACGCGGAUCCAUUUACGGAAGCAUCAUAAAUUUGUUCGAAUAUUUUCAAAGAUAGAAUUUUAUAGGCAGGAUCGUCAUUCGACUGGAGAGCAGCAUGAAAUCACCGCCAUCGUUGACAUCCCGCAUACUGCAGUCAACUUUUUUAUAAGUCUGGUUAUGGGGAAGGAAGUACAGCGAUGGAAGAUUGUAAAAAUCGAAAAAAAAAAA